ACUUGUGUUCAUGCAAUGAAAGCUACCUAUUAUAAUUUUCAAUCAUUGACUUCUGCAACAAACUUAGACUUAAAAGAGUUAAAGUAACUGAAGAUAAAGAAGUAUGUGCAGGAUUUAAUUUCACGACUAAAGAGGACUCCGAAGAAGAAUUUAAUCUCUGAUGGAUCAAAGAUCGAGGAAUGAUUUGGUUUUAACUGGUUUGCAUCUUAUGAACGAAGUACAUAAUAUGAUUUAAAUUGAUGAUUUAUAGUUACACCUAUUGAAAUUCUGUAUCUCAAUGAUAUCCUGGCUUAUCGAUACGAUAUCCUGUAAAUCCACUUACAC